AGCUUUGUGCAGUGGCAAUAUCAUAGCCAAUGAGUUUUAUUCGAGGCAUGAUUAUUGCUAAUUGAAAAAAACUACUCUGUUAUUAGAACAGAAAAAUUGCACCUAUGAACAAAAUGGAUAAAAUUUGAGAUGAUUUUGCUAAAC